rnacentral:rRNA from 1 species
AUUGCACAAGUCGGGGGAAACCCUGAUGCAGCGACGCCGCGUGAAGGAAGAAGUAUCUCGGUAUGUAAACUUCUAUCAGCAGGGAAGAUAGUGACGGUACCUGACUAAGAACGCCCCGGCUAACUACGUGCC